rnacentral:rRNA from 1 species
GUGGGGAAUCUUGCGCAAUGGGCGAAAGCCUGACGCAGCCAUGCCGCGUGAAUGAUGAAGGUCUUAGGAUUGUAAAAUUCUUUCACCGGGGACGAUAAUGACGGUACCCGGAGAAGAAGCUCCGGCUAACUUCGUGCCAGCAGCCGCGGUAAUACGAAGGGGGCUAGCGUUGCUCGGAAUUACUGGGCGUAAAGGGCGCGUAGGCGGACAGCUUAGUCAGAGGUGAAAGCCCAGGGCUCAACCUUGGAAUUGCCUUUGAUACUGGCUGUCUUGAGUUUGGGAGAGGUGAGUGGAACUCCGGGUGUAGAGGUGAAAUUCGUAGAUAUUCGGAAGAACACCAGUGGCGAAGGCGACUCACUGGCCCAAUACUGACGCUGAGGCGCGAAAGCGUGGGGAGCAAACAGGAUUAGAUACUCCGGUAGUCC